rnacentral:rRNA from 1 species
CAGUAGCCGCGGUAAUACGUAGGGUGCGAGCGUUAAUCGGAAUUACUGGGCGUAAAGCGUGCGCAGGCGGUUCGUUAAGACAGAUGUGAAAUCCCCGGGCUUAACCUGGGAACCGCAUUUGUGACUGGCGAGCUAGAGUAUGGCAGAGGGGGGUAGAAUUCCACGUGUAGCAGUGAAAUGCGUAGAGAUGUGGAGGAAUACCGAUGGCGAAGGCAGCCCCCUGGGCCAAUACUGACGCUCAUGCACGAAAGCGUGGGGAGCAAACAGGAUUAGAUACCCCCGUAGUCCCUGUCUCUUAUAC